GACGAACGCUGGCGGCGUGCUUAACACAUGCAAGUCGAGCGGUAAGGCCCCUUUGGGGGUACACGAGCGGCGAACGGGUGAGUAACACGUGGGUGACCUGCCCUCAGCUCUGGGAUAAGCCUGGGAAACUGGGUCUAAUACCGGAUAUGACUCCAUGACGCAUGUUGUGGGGUGGAAAGCCUUGUGCGGCUGGGGAUGGGCCCGCGGCCUAUCAGCUUGUUGGUGGGGUGAUGGCCUACCAAGGCGACGACGGUAGCCGGCCUGAGAGGCGACCGGCCGACACUGGGACUGAGACACGGCCCAGACUCCUACGGGAGGCAGGCAGUGGGGAAUCUUGCGCAAUGGGCGAAAGCCUGACGCAGCGACGCCGCGUGAGGGAUGACGGCCU
rnacentral:rRNA from 1 species